rnacentral:lncRNA from 10 species
GUUAGGUGGUAAAAGCAGUGUUUGCCAUAAAAAUCAGGUCGUUGGUUAUUUUGGUGGGGAGGGAGAGGUAGUGUUUGGAAGGGGACACAAGGGAAGGUUUUGGGACGCAUGGUAUACCGGUUGUCAAUGUAUGGCCUCGCACCUCCAAAUCCAUCCUUUAAUACCUGCUCUGUGGGCACAGCCAGAAUCCCCUUCCGCGGCUCCCCUCGCGGCAGGGAGGAUGCUGAACAGUAGAGGGCGCUGGAGACACGCUGCGGGAGGCUGUCGCUCGGGUCCGGCUGCGGGCCACAGGCCGCGGAUCGCGCUCUGCCAGCGCCCCACGCCCGCAAGCGCGGCCCCUCCGCCACCUCGCGGCCCGGCCUGACCUGUUAAUCACGUCCCCACGGCUCUCCUAGCGGGGACACCGCCGUCUGCAGGCUCCGUCCCCACAGUGCCCAGACCCCGGGAAGUUUGUCAGUCAGCACCCUGAUGCCAGCCGAUUCUCAAAAAGCCAGGAGGAUCCAAGCAGAUGAUUUGCCAGACGGUACUGCAGCAAUGGAGAUGAACAGAUAAUUCACACAGAAAGAAGGACGAGGGAUUGGAUCAAGCUGGGGCGAGAUAGAGUGGGGAAGUGAUGAGCUAAGAAAAAUUAGCCUGCAAGCAUGACGUGUCGCACGUCAGCAAGGCUGCAGCCUUGGAUUCUGAUGUCUUGAGAAGAGCGAUUCACCUGUGAAUUCUCACAGCCCUGGCCUCAGAAAGACGGCCCGGGACCAGGCCCGAUGGCACCCCUCUUCCCAGCUCUCAGCCAGGGCGGAAGGCACAAGUGAUGGCCCUGGCCUCCGCAGUCACACUCCUCCUGAAAGCUGACUGGCUGAACCUCACCUCUUGGCUAGCUUGCCACCCAGCUCUUGAGAACAUGUUUGUCCAAGGCCUCUUGGCAGGUCUCGAUGACUCCUUCCCCUAAGGGCCCCCAGUCACCUGCUAAGGCUCCCAGGCCCCUGUGAAACUGGCUCGGUGCCCCAAUAGACUCUCCACCUCCAGACCCUAAGCCGGCCAGCCCAGAGUGCAGCAAGGCACCACACCUACCCUGUGAGGGCACUCGGGCCCCGCGCUGGCCUCUGACAGCACAGGAAGCUUCUGCAUUCACGCUGAGGCCUGUCUUUUGCCUUCCUUAGAUAAACUUGCCAGAAACCCCAUAGUGCUUCAGGCCUUUGGGAUAAUUCCCCUGAGCCCCAUAGGCCAGGGCCUGGCAUUCAGUAGUUGCUCUAAAAUUGUGUUUUCACCCACUCUCUUCCAGGUAGUCAGGACAGGGAAGCCCAGGCUUCUGGUCACCACUCACCAAAUCUCUCCCCUGCCCCUCUAUCAGGGAUCAGCUCCUAUAGGCCUUAACCUAGCAGACUAGGUAAAGCAGAGCUGGUGGCAUCAAGGGUCCCGGGGGCUGCAGAGCCCUGGCUGGUACAGGAGGCUGGGCUCUCCUGUAGGUCUGCACCUUCCCAGCAACGCGGAGGGCACCAGACCCUGCCUGCUCCAGAGGCUGUACCUGAAAGAUGAAGUGCUCGUCAAACUGCGGGUUGGAGGUUUUGCGUUUGGUCUUGGAUUGGAGGAAGCGCCGCUCAUCGGGCAGCAGGCUAAACACAUCCCCUCUCUCUGGUGCAGCUCCUCCAAGAAGCCUUCUCACCAUGAAGGCAUUGCAUGGCCAGGCUGGGGAUCCAGCAGAGUCCUGCCCCCUGGGAUUGGCCCCCAUCCUUGGAGGUCAGGACCUGUUUCAAGGACACAGUGCCCAUCACCUGGCCUAGCCCCCUUCCAUGGCGUCUAGGGAAUGACUCAGCGAUAAAACAUUGCCUUUCUUCUUCCUCUUCAAAUUAGAAGGGCCAAGGUGAUUAUUGGGUGGUUCCUGUGAUGGUCUCUUGGUAGAUCUUCAGGGCAAAGAGGUGGCAGAAAGCUGUGUUUGCAGCCCCUACCAUUCUGUCCUCUUGGUCAACCAACCCAUCAUCCUAGAGUGGGACCCAGCACAAGUUCUGUACAUGGCGUGCCUGGGUUCCAAUUCCAAUCUGUUGCUUACAGCCUCAGUUAAGACUAUGUAAAAUGGGGUGAUAAUUCCUCCCCCUCAGAGUCAUGGUGAGGUCUCACUCCAAAUCAGCACCCAAGGCCAUAUCUUACCCUCAUGGGGUGCAGCAAGCACUUCAUAAAUGAAAGCACCCAGAAAGAGUGGUCCCUGGGUGGUCCCUGGCAUCCCUGGCUGGUUCAGGUUGUGUUCCGGAGCCAAGCUGGUGAAAGCAGAUGGGGCCACCCGAGCAGACCCUGACCUCUGGGCAGCCCUGGCAAGGACACUCACCAAGGCCGCCGCUGGAGGUGUGAGGCAGCAGCUCUGAUGCCGGGCAGGGGUCCCAUGGGGCAUCGGCCCACUCUCCACUGUGCAGGGGCACCCAAUCUCGGCCUUGAAGGGUUGGGGGCACCACGAAUGGCACAGCUGGUGGCCUGUCCAGAGUCAGGGAGACAACAUGUAGGUGGCAAGUCAAUGGUGUGGUCUCAGAGCGCUCAGCCAGGACGGUUGAGCACCAGGGGCUGGAGGAAGAAAAGCCAUCGGGAGCCAGGAGGAGGCCAGGGCACCAUUUUCUGGGCCCAUACCAGGCAACACACACACACACACACGCACACACACACACACACACACACACACACACACACACAGCAGUGGGAUUUGAAGAAGGAACACAGCACCUGACAGUGUCAGCCAGUCUGGGUUUGGAUUCCUGUUCUGCCACUUACUAAUUGUGUUCUCUGGACCUGUUGCUUAUGUGCACUGAGCCUCAGAUUCCUCACCUGGAACAUGGGUUUCAUAACACCUGCCUAAUAGCUGAUGUGAGGUUUCUGGGGUUUCUUUGUGAUAGCUCCCAGCACCGAAGCAGCAUAGAAGAGGCACCCCCAUAAACAGAACUUUCCUUUUCGACCCCACCCUGAGGGAAAUUCCAGGGGCGCACUUGGCCCCACAUCCUGCCUCACCUGCUCAGUUGGGUCCUAGCAUGCGGCUGGCAGGGCCUGUCCCGCUGCCCACUGGAGGCAGCUGUGGUGGCCAUGGCUGGUGUCCCAGGCAGCUCCUCAUAGGUGAGGGUGGCACAGAACCUUCUCCACAGACAGCAGCUUGCCCCGAUCAACAGCAGCAGCAGCAGCCCCCCGAUGGUGCCCCCAAUCACCAGGGCCAGCUGCUCUGGGGGCAGAGACCACCAGUACUAUGAUGCCUGCCUGGGAAAGCCACUCUCCCUCACAGCCCUGGCCUGCUGGGGCAGAACUAGGGCAGCAACCCUGCCUCUGGGUUUGAUCUCAGGAGUGAUAGGAGCAGGCCUGCUGGGGAUGGGUUCCGGGAGGGAUGCUGCUGGCUAGGUUCCGCCAGCUCUCAGAGGAGAAGCCGUUUACCCCAGGGUCUGAGAGCCCUGGGCAGAACCUUCUAGUUUUCCUUGGAAAACAGCUGGCCCUGCCCUUGGGAUUCUGGCUUAAAGAAGCCAUUUCCUUGCGCUUCUGAGUAGAAAUCAAACCUGCCCUCACCAGAACCUCCAUAUCCCCUGGGCUCCUGUUGAGGCCAGGAGGGGAGCUGGGGUGUGGACGCAGUCAGUUAAGGAAAGCCCUGAAAGGUACCUUCCCCCUGGUCUGCAAUCAAACCUCUACCCUCUGGGGCCCUGGAACCUGCUGCAAGGCUGGACUCUUCUCUAACACCCGCUCCCUCCCCUAGCCCUCUAUCAAGGUGAGCACGCGCUUAGGGGAGUUGGUGCGACGCGGUGGACGAGGUGGGGAGGAAAAGGGGGCAAGACCCCGUUGCUGCUGGCCCUCACACGUCCGCAUUUGCGGGACCUAGGAGGCUUCGCCCCGGGGGUGCUCAGACGCUGGGUUCCAACCGCUGGCCACCUGGGGCGGGCCAAAAAGGUGCCUCCCUUAGGGUGACGUGCGGCCGCGGGGCAUUCAGGUCUCAGGGAUCUGCACUGGGUGGGGUGGUGAGAAGGCCGGACCCCCCACACCUCCUAAGCCGCAACUGACCGCGAAGAGCGGGCCUCAGCGUCUACUCCAUCCCAGUGCCCCUCCAAGAGCGCGCCGAGGCCGGGCAGGGCAGGCGCUGCACCCCAGCGGGGGCGGCGGGGCGGAGGCAAGUGCUGGAAGGGUCGCAGAGGGGCCGGGGCUGGGCUGGGGAGGCGAGGCUCGCUUACCCGCCAUGGGGCUGCUCCCGCAGCCACUCCCCUUCUAGGGUCUGGGCGGUGGGGGCAUGAGAAGGCGGAGACCCAGGCCACUUCACCCAGUAACUGUCCUCAGCUGUGCGCUUAACUGGCGAGAUCUCCGCUCUACUUGGAGACAGUCUGGGGUGUCUGGAGAAUCCUCCCCCACUUCUGCUUACCCCAGGUCGCUGUGGGAGCAGGUGUCUCAGGAAAUGGGGCCUGGGUCCCACCCAAGGCCUCGGGUCUGAGUUAGAUGUCUGUAUGUUUGUUGUUGCCCCUGCAACAAAGUACCACAGAUUGAGUAGUUUAAGCCACAUGCAUGUUAUCUCACAGUUCGGGGGGUCGGGAAUCUAAACUGGGUUGGCAGGGCCUGUGCCUUCUGGAGGCAAGGGAGCUGUUUCCCAGCGUUUCCAGCUCCUAGAGGCUGCUAGCUAGUGGCCCUUUCCUUUGUCUUCAAAGCCGGCAGCACAGCCUUUUCUAACCUCUCCCACUCCAGGUCAUUUCACAUCAACUCUUUCUGCCUCCCUCUUGUAAGUGUGAUACCCUACCUUGUUUUAACCUGAAUUGACUGUCCCUUAGCUGAGAGAGCCAGACACACUCCAUUUUGGCUCCUUCACUUGCAGCCCCUUACCCACCCCCCUUCCUCAAGGACUUAACUUGUGCAAGCUGACUCCCAGCACAUCAAAGAAUGCAAUUAAUGGAUAAGAUACUGUGGCAAGCUAUAUCCGCAGUUCCCAGGAAUUUGCCCAGUUGAUAGUACCCUAAGCCCCCACAUUUGUGUCCGGUUGAUGGUACCCAAAGCCCCCGCAUCUAUCGCCUUGUGAUGGAUUUAAAACCCCUGCACCUGGAACUGUUUGUUUUCCUGUAACCAUUUGUCUUUUAACUUUUUGCCUGUUUUGCUUCUGUAAGAGUGCUUCAGCUAGGCUCCUCCUCCCCUUUCUAAACCAAAGUAUAAAAGAAAAUCUAGCCCUUUCUUCAGGGCCGAGAGAAUUUUGAGCACUAGCCGUCUCUCGGUUGCCGGCUAAUAAAG